rnacentral:rRNA from 1 species
AGCGAACGCUGGCGGCAGGCCUAAAACAUGCAAGUCGAACGAGCCCUUCGGGGUUAGUGGCGGACGGGUGAGUAACACGUGAGAACGUGCCUUUUGGUUCGGAACAACUCAGGGAAACUUGAGCUAAUACCGAAUGUGCCCUUCGGGGGAAAGAUUUAUCGCCAUAAGAGCGACCCGCGUCUGAUUAGCUAGUUGGUGGG